rnacentral:rRNA from 1 species
UACGAGGGGGGCUAGCGUUGCUCGGAAUCACUGGGCGUAAAGGGUGCGUAGGCGGGUUUUUAAGUCAGAGGUGAAAUCCUGGAGCUCAACUCCAGAACUGCCUUUGAUACUGAGAAUCUUGAGUACGGGAGAGGUGAGUGGAACUGCGAGUGUAGAGGUGAAAUUCGUAGAUAUUCGCAAGAACACCAACGGCGAAGGCAGCUCGCUGGGACGGUACUGACACUGAGGCGCGAAAGCGUGGGGAGCGAACAGG